rnacentral:rRNA from 1 species
GGACCUUCCUCUCAGAACCCCUAUCCAUCGUAGGCUAGGUGGGCCGUUACCCCGCCUACUACCUAAUGGAACGCAUCCCCAUCGUACACCGAUAAAUCUUUAAUCUUAAUUACAUGUGUGCUUAAGAUACCAUCAGGUAUUAAUCUUUCUUUCGAAAGGCUAUCCCUGAGUGUACGGAAGGUUGG